UACAGAGGUCUCGAGCGUUGUUCGGAUUCAUUGGGCGUAAAGGGCGCGUAGGCGGCGGGGUAAGUCUGGUGUGAAAUCUCGGAGCUCAACUCCGAAAUUGCACUGGAUACUGCUCUGCUAGAGGGCUGGAGAGGAGAUCGGAAUUCACGGUGUAGCAGUGAAAUGCGUAGAUAUCGUAAGGAAGACCAGUGGCGAAGGCGGGUCUCUGGACAGUUCCUGACGCUGAGGCGCGAAGGCCAGGGGAGCAAACGGG
rnacentral:rRNA from 1 species